rnacentral:tRNA from 1 species
GGUCUCGUAGCAUAAUGGGAAUGCACACGACUGAAGCUCGUGCUAACGGGGUUCGAUUCCCCGCGAGGCCA